rnacentral:sRNA from 1 species
GUAAUUUGUAAUCAUAGAAACAGAAUGUUCCUCCUCUUAUUUCUUCCCUGCCAACAGUUUCUGGGUGGGUGAAUGUCAGUAGCUGGAGUUAUUUUUAAACAGGAGAGGAUAAUAUAAACGUUUUCUUGAAAGCUUGUGAACAGAUUGGAUUGAAAGAAGCCCAGCUUUUCCAUCCUGGAGAUCUACAGGAUUUAUCAAAUCGAGUCACUGUCAAGCAAGAAGAGACUGAUAGGAGAGUGAAAAAUGUUUUGAUAACAUUGUACUGGCUGGGAAGAAAAGCACAAAGCAACCCGUACUAUAAUGGUCCCCAUCUUAAUUUGAAAGCGUUUGAGAAUCUUUUAGGACAAGCACUGACGAAGGCACUUGAAGACUCCAGCUUCCUGAAAAGAAGUGGCAGGGACAGUGGCUACGGUGACAUCUGGUGUCCUGAACGUGGAGAAUUUCUUGCUCCUCCAAGGCACCAUAAGAGAGAAGAUUCCUUUGAAAGCUUGGACUCUUUGGGCUCGAGGUCAUUGACAAGCUGCUCCUCUGAUAUCACGCUGAGAGUGGGGCGUGAAGGUUUUGAAAGUGAC